GUUAUAGCGCCUUACUUCAAAAAGACACUCGUCUCACCUCUCGCCUAAGUUCAUAGGGUACCUUUUCACCUUGAUAACACUGACAACCAUUAGAAUUGCUACUUAAUUGUCAGUGAUGGUCGUUAUCUUUAAAUAACGACCAUAACAGCUUCUGCAGUUACAAUUUUAAAAAUCUGUUAAAUAACAGUGGUAAUGGUAAUAGCAAGCUAAAAUUCCUUUAAUAACAAUCAUUAUUUAAAACCAUGAUAUGGAGUGUGGCUCAUUAUAGUAGCAUCCUGAAUGGGUUGAGAGAAUAUGGAUGUAAAGGUGUAGAUUAAUUGUUCUCCUUUAUUUUAAAUAAACCUUUACUAUUUGAUGAUCCUAUUCUUAGCUCAAAAAUGAAGAUUUAUAAAGAUGGAAGAUAGAAGAUGGGAAAUUUGAGAGAAAUAGAUGAAGUAUAAAAACUAGAAACAAAAUUAGCCCUCUACAUCUCUAUAUCACAAAUAAAAACAAUCCUAAUCUGCCAAUGCAAGUAAUAGCAGUCACCA
rnacentral:misc_RNA from 1 species